rnacentral:lncRNA from 1 species
UUUUAUUUGUUUUACAUAGAAACUUUCCUAGUAACAGGUUAAAUAGAAAAAAUUAUUAUUGGGGAAAAUACUUUUUAAAUAAAUAAUGAGAUAAAUAUUAUGACAAGAGUAAUAGAGAAUUUUCCAUUGAAAAAUACCCAUUGUGAAAAGAAUUUCACGAAUUUGAUGCAUAGCAUUGUAAACCAUAGGGUUUUAUUCAUAAAUCUCAUCAUGUAAUCUCGUUUUGGAAAAAAAUUGGAUUUGCUUCUUUAUUUAAGUGGGAGCAUAUUCAAAGAUUGUAGGUUUGGUUCGAGUAAAAAAAUCGAGAUCUGUUGCAGCAAGCUUCUCUGAGGAAGGGGGUGGCGUUUAUUGCAGGAAGCUUCACAGAGAGAGGAA